GUUAACGAGGCGAACCGGGGGAACUGAAACAUCUAAGUACCCCGAGGAAAAGAAAUCAACCGAGAUUCCCCCAGUAGCGGCGAGCGAACGGGGAGCAGCCCAGAGUCUGAAUCAGCUUGUGUGUUAGUGGAACGGUCUGGAAAGUCCGACGGUACAGGGUGAUAGUCCCGUACACCAAAAUGCACAGGCUGUGAACUCGAAGAGUAGGGCGGGACACGUGGUAUCCUGUCUGAAUAUGGGGGGACCAUCCUCCAAGGCUAAAUACUCCUGACUGACCGAUAGUGAACCAGUACCGUGAGGGAAAGGCGAAAAGAACCCCGGCGAGGGGAGUGAAAAAGAACCUGAAACCGUGUACGUACAAGCAGUGGGAGCACCUUCGGGUGUGACUGCGUACCUUUUGUAUAAUGGGUCAGCGACUUAUAUUCUGUAGCAAGGUUAACCGUAUAGGGGAGCCGCAGGGAAACCGAGUCUUAACUGGGCGUUAAGUUGCAGGGUAUAGACCCGAAACCCGGUGAUCUAGCCAUGGGCAGGUUGAAGGUUGGGUAACACUAACUGGAGGACCGAACCGACUAAUGUUGAAAAAUUAGCGGAUGACUUGUGGCUGGGGGUGAAAGGCCAAUCAAACCGGGAGAUAGCUGGUUCUCCCCGAAAGCUAUUUAGGUAGCGCCUCGUGAAUUCAUCUUCGGGGGUAGAGCACUGUUUCGGCUAGGGGGUCAUCCCGACUUACCAACCCGAUGCAAACUACGAAUACCGAAGAAUGUUAUCACGGGAGACACACGGCGGGUGCUAACGUCCGUCGUGAAGAGGGAAACAACCCAGACCGCCAGCUAAGGUCCCAAAGUCAUGGUUAAGUGGGAAACGAUGUGGGAAGGCACAGACAGCCAGGAUGUUGGCUUAGAAGCAGCCAUCAUUUAAAGAAAGCGUAAUAGCUCACUGGUCGAGUCGGCCUGCGCGGAAGAUGUAACGGGGCUAAACCAUGCACCGAAGCUGCGGCAGCGACACUAUGUGUUGUUGGGUAGGGGAGCGUUCUGUAAGCCUGCGAAGGUGACCUGUGAGGGUUGCUGGAGGUAUCAGAAGUGCGAAUGCUGACAUAAGUAACGAUAAAGCGGGUGAAAAGCCCGCUCGCCGGAAGACCAAGGGUUCCUGUCCAACGUUAAUCGGGGCAGGGUGAGUCGACCCCUAAGGCGAGGCCGAAAGGCGUAGUCGAUGGGAAACAGGUUAAUAUUCCUGUACUUGGUGUUACUGCGAAGGGGGGACGGAGAAGGCUAUGUUAGCCGGGCGACGGUUGUCCCGGUUUAAGCAUGUAGGCUGGUUAUCCAGGCAAAUCCGGAUAAUCAAGGCUGAGGUGUGAUGACGAGGCACUACGGUGCUGAAGUAACAAAUGCCCUGCUUCCAGGAAAAGCCUCUAAGCAUCAGGUAACAUCAAAUCGUACCCCAAACCGACACAGGUGGUCAGGUAGAGAAUACCAAGGCGCUUGAGAGAACUCGGGUGAAGGAACUAGGCAAAAUGGUGCCGUAACUUCGGGAGAAGGCACGCUGGUGUGUAGGUGAAGUCCCUGCGGAUGGAGCUGAGACCAGUCGAAGAUACCAGCUGGCUGCAACUGUUUAUUAAAAACACAGCACUGUGCAAACACGAAAGUGGACGUAUACGGUGUGACGCCUGCCCGGUGCCGGAAGGUUAAUUGAUGGGGUUAUCCGUAAGGAGAAGCUCUUGAUCGAAGCCCCGGUAAACGGCGGCCGUAACUAUAACGGUCCUAAGGUAGCGAAAUUCCUUGUCGGGUAAGUUCCGACCUGCACGAAUGGCGUAAUGAUGGCCAGGCUGUCUCCACCCGAGACUCAGUGAAAUUGAACUCGCUGUGAAGAUGCAGUGUACCCGCGGCAAGACGGAAAGACCCCGUGAACCUUUACUAUAGCUUGACACUGAACAUUGAGCCUUGAUGUGUAGGAUAGGUGGGAGGCUUUGAAGCGUGGACGCCAGUCUGCGUGGAGCCAACCUUGAAAUACCACCCUUUAAUGUUUGAUGUUCUAACGUUGGCCCCUUACCGGGGUUGCGGACAGUGUCUGGUGGGUAGUUUGACUGGGGCGGUCUCCUCCCAAAGCGUAACGGAGGAGCACGAAGGUUAGCUAAUCCUGGUCGGACAUCAGGAGGUUAGUGCAAUGGCAUAAGCUAGCUUGACUGCGAGCGUGACGGCGCGAGCAGGUGCGAAAGCAGGUCAUAGUGAUCCGGUGGUUCUGAAUGGAAGGGCCAUCGCUCAACGGAUAAAAGGUACUCCGGGGAUAACAGGCUGAUACCGCCCAAGAGUUCAUAUCGACGGCGGUGUUUGGCACCUCGAUGUCGGCUCAUCACAUCCUGGGGCUGAAGUAGGUCCCAAGGGUAUGGCUGUUCGCCAUUUAAAGUGGUACGCGAGCUGGGUUUAGAACGUCGUGAGACAGUUCGGUCCCUAUCUGCCGUGGGCGCUGGAGAAUUGAGGGGGGCUGCUCCUAGUACGAGAGGACCGGAGUGGACGCAUCACUGGUGUUCGGGUUGUCAUGCCAAUGGCACUGCCCGGUAGCUAAAUGCGGAAGAGAUAAGUGCUGAAAGCAUCUAAGCACGAAACUUGCCCCGAGAUGAGUUCUCCCUGAGACUUUAAGUCUCCUGAAGGAACGUUAAAGACGAUGACGUUGAUAGGCCGGGUGUGUAAGCG
rnacentral:rRNA from 1 species